rnacentral:rRNA from 1 species
UCGAGGGGCAUCGGGAGGGAAGCUUGCUUUCCUUGCCGGCGACCGGCGCACGGGUGAGUAACACGUAUGCAACCUGCCCUCUUCAGGGGGACAACCUUCCGAAAGGGAGGCUAAUCCCGCGUAUAUCGGUUUCGGCGGAGGAUGGGCAUGCGGCGCAUUAGCUUGUUGGCGGGGUAACGGCCCACCAAGGCGACGAUGCGUAGGGGUUCUGAGAGGAAGGUCCCCCACACUGGUACUGAGACACGGACCAGACUCCUACGGGAGGCAGCAG